rnacentral:rRNA from 1 species
GAUGAACGCUGGCGGCGUGCUUAACACAUGCAAGUCGAACGGAAAGGCCCUUGCUUGGUGGGGUGCUCGAGUGGCGAACGGGUGAGUAACACGUGGGUGAUCUGCCCUGGACUUUGGGAUAAGUCUGGGAAACUGGGUCUAAUACCGGAUAGGAGCUCAUGCUGCAUGGUGGGGGGGAGAGAGUUUCGGUGGGGGAUGAACUCGCGGCGUAUCAGCUUGUUGGUGGGGUAAUGGCUUACCAAGGAGUCGACGGGUAGCCGGCCUGAGAGGGUGAACGGCCACAUUGGGACUGAGAUACGGCCCAGACUCCUACGGGAGGCAGCAGUGGGGAAUAUUGCACAAUGGGCGGAAGCCUGAUGCAGCAACGCCGCGUGCGGGAUGACGGCCUUCGGGUUGUAAACCGCUUUCGCCUGGGACGAAGCGUGAGUGACGGUAAUGGGUAAAGAAGCACCGGCUAACUACGUG